UUCCACCUGAGGUUGAUCUCUGAGGUUUCUCUUCCACUGACUCAUCGACUGGUUCGACUGGUUCAGAGUUUGAUGAAGUGAAGCCUGCAGACACACCAGACUCAGAAAGCAGCGUCUCUGGGCUCAUUUACUGGUUAAGGAUGAGACUUUUAAUCAUCAUGUGAAGCUUGUUUACCAGAGAGACCUCGUCAGGACACAAAAGAGCCGCUGCAAUGACAGACAUUAACAGGAAAAACUCAAGUGGAGCGGCAUGUUCCAACAGGAAAAGGAUCCCUCAGAAGAAACCAGAGUCCUCUGAACCCAGCUGUGUGUCCAUGAAGAGUGACCGCUCAAAGGCCGAACCCCUCACAUUCAAAGAUGGACAGAAGAUCCGGGAAGGACCAGAUCAACCCAGCUGUGUGUCCAUGAAGAGUGACCGCUCAAAGGCCGAACCUCUCACAUUCAAAGAUGGACACCCUCCUUCUGGACAUAAGAUCCAUCGCAAGAGACCAGAGUCCUCUGAACCCAGCUGUGUGUCCAUGAAGAGUGACCGCUCAAAGGCCGAACCUCUCACAUUCAAAGAUGGACACCCUCCUUCUGGACAUAAGAUCCAUCGGAAGAGACCAGAGUCCUCUGAACCCAGCUGUGUGUCCAUGAAGAGUGACCGCUCAAAGGCCGAACCUCUCACAUUCAAAGAUGGACACCCUCCUUCUGGACAUAAGUAAGCUGUUACUAACAUUUAACUGUCAGAGAUUCUAUGUUUAACAGUUACACAUCCAGAAAAUGGUUUAUGGUUAGCUUCAUUUGGGAGUUUUUCGAUG
rnacentral:lncRNA from 15 species